rnacentral:rRNA from 1 species
CUCGUAGGCGGUUUGGUAAGUCAGGUGUGAAAUCUCCACGCUCAACGUGGAGGGGCCACCUGAUACUGCCAUGACUCGAGUCCGGUAGAGGAGUGUGGAAUUCCCGGUGUAGCGGUGAAAUGCGCAGAUAUCGGGAGGAACACCCGUAGCGAAGGCGGCACUCUGGGCCGGUACUGACGCUGAGGAGCGAAAGCGUGGGGAGCAAACA